UUUUCCGCCCGAACCUGGCGCCCCGGGUCGGCCUUCAUCUCGGAGGAGUUUUGGAGCGGUUGCGGGAUCCAGGCUCCCCACUCUCCAUCUCUUCUUGACCUGUCUGUCGAUCCUUGGCUGUUGGGGGCUUCCUGCAAAGGGCCUUGCUGCUGCUCUUCGAGAAUAAUCCAGGACGGAGAAGAUGGGAACACAUCGCCUGACCU